rnacentral:rRNA from 1 species
GUGUCAGCAGCCGCGGUAAGACAGAGGGUGCGAACGUUGCUCGGAAUUACUGGGCGUAAAGCGCGUGUAGGCGGUUACGCGAGUCGGGUGUGAAAGCCCGGGGCUCAACCCCGGAAGUGCACUCGAUACUACGUAGCUAGAGUCCUGAAGAGGAGAGCGGAAUUCCCGGUGUAGAGGUGAAAUUCGUAGAUAUCGGGAGGAACACCAGUGGCGAAGGCGGCUCUCUGGACAGGAACUGACGCUGAGACGCGAAAGCGUGGGUAGCAAACAGGAUUAGAUACCCUGGUAGUCC